rnacentral:rRNA from 1 species
UACAGAGGUCUCAAGCGUUGUUCGGAUUCAUUGGGCGUAAAGGGUGCGUAGGCGGCGCGGUAAGUCGGGUGUGAAAUCUCGGAGCUUAACUCCGAAACUGCAUUCGAUACUGCCGUGCUUGAGGACUGGAGAGGAGACUGGAAUUUACGGUGUAGCGGUGAAAUGCGUAGAUAUCAGGAGGAACGCCAAUGGCGAAGGCAAGUCUCUGGACAGUUCCUGACGCUCAUGCACGAAGGCCAGGGGAGCAAACGGG